AUUGGCUAAUGAAUUUUUCCACUAACUCAAAAGUGCCAUUGCCACAUUGCAGCUCCACCCCAAUUUCAUAUUAUCUUCUUUUACUGUUAGGUAAUUUAGAAGUGGUAACAAUAGGAUAAAAAUAUAGAAAAAGAGAACCAAGCAUCAAUUCAAAUAUAUAACUACAAAGAAAGGCAAGAAGCCAGUAAAAAAAAAAAAAAAAGAGAGAGAAAGCUGCAUGUGCUCUAUCUUCAUAGGAAGAGAGACAGUGCACAGGGUUAACUGGAAAAGUACUUCAUUUCCGCUCUUUGUCCAGCUUUACUUUUCCCUUAG